rnacentral:rRNA from 1 species
UAAGGUUAAGUUAAUAAGGGCGCACGGUGGAUGCCUUGGCACUAGGAGCCGAAGAAGGACGUGACAAACGACGAUAUGCCUUGGGUAGCUGUAAGUAAGCGAUGAUCCAGGGAUUUCCGAAUGGGGGAACCCAACAGGUACUACCUGUUACCCACAUCUGUUAAGGAUGUGAGGAGGAAGACGCAGUGAACUGAAACAUCUAAGUAGCUGCAGGAAGAGAAAGCAAAAGCGAUUGCCUUAGUAGCGGCGAGCGAAACGGCAGGAGGGCAAACCGAAGAGUUUACUCUUCGGGGUUGUAGGACUGCAAUGUGGACUCAAAGAUUAUAGAAGAAUGAUUUGGGAAGAUCAGCCAAAGAGAGUAAUAGCCUCGUAUUUAAAAUAGUCUUUGUACCUAGCAGUAUCCUGAGUACGGCGGGACACGUGAAAUCCCGUCGGAAUCUGGGAGGACCAUCUCCCAACCCUAAAUACUCCCUAGUGACCGAUAGUGAACCAGUACCGUGAGGGAAAGGUGAAAAGCACCCCGGGAGGGGAGUGAAAUAGAACCUGAAACCGUGUGCCUACAACAAGUUCGAGCCCGUUAAUGGGUGAGAGCGUGCCUUUUGUAGAAUGAACCGGCGAGUUACGUUAUGAUGCGAGGUUAAGUUGAAGAGACGGAGCCGUAGGGAAACCGAGUCUGAAUAGGGCGAAUUAGUAUCAUGACGUAGACCCGAAACCAUGUGACCUACCCAUGAGCAGGUUGAAGGUGCGGUAAGACGCACUGGAGGACCGAACCAGGGCACGUUGAAAAGUGCUUGGAUGACUUGUGGGUAGCGGAGAAAUUCCAAACGAACUUGGAGAUAGCUGGUUCUCUCCGAAAUAGCUUUAGGGCUAGCGUCGACAUAAAGAUUCUUGGAGGUAGAGCACUGUUUGGGUGAGGGGUCCAUCCCGGAUUACCAAUCUCAGAUAAACUCCGAAUGCCAAUGAAUUAUGGUCGGCAGUCAGACUGCGAGUGCUAAGAUCCGUAGUCGAA